UGCAAGUCGCAGGGUAACAUGAGGAAAGCUUGCUUUCCUUGAUGACGACUGGCGCACGGGUGAGUAACGCGUAUCCAACCUUCCCAUAACUACGGGAUAACCCGUUGAAAGACGGCCUAAUACCGUAUGACAUCGUUUGCUGACAUCAAAUAACGAUUAAAGGUUUAGCGGUUAUGGAUGGGGAUGCGUCUGAUUAGCUUGUUGGCGGGGUAACGGCCCACCAAGGCGACGAUCAGUAGGGGUUCUGAGAGGAAGGUCCCCCACAUUGGAACUGAGACACGGUCCAAACUCCUACGGGAGGCAGCAGUGAGGAAUAUUGGUCAAUGGGCGAGAGCCUGAACCAGCCAAGUAGCGUGCAGGAUGACGGCCCUAUGGGUUGUAAACUGCUUUUAUGUGGGGAUAAAGUGCGUGACGUGUCAUGCAUUGCAGGUACCACAUGAAUAAGGACCGGCUAAUUCCGUGCCAGCAGCCGCGGUAAUACGGAAGGUCCGGGCGUUAUCCGGAUUUAUUGGGUUUAAAGGGAGCGUAGGCUGUCUAUUAAGCGUGUUGUGAAAUUUACCGGCUCAACCGGUGGCUUGCAGCGCGAACUGGUCGACUUGAGUAUGCAGGAAGUAGGCGGAAUUCAUGGUGUAGCGGUGAAAUGCUUAGAUAUCAUGACGAACUCCGAUUGCGCAGGCAGCUUACUGUAGCAUAACUGACGCUGAUGCUCGAAAGUGCGGGUAUCAAACAGGAUUAGAUACCCUGGUAGUCCGCACGGUAAACGAUGGAUGCUCGCUAUUCGUCCUAUUUGGAUGAGUGGCCAAGUGAAAACAUUAAGCAUCCCACCUGGGGAGUACGCCGGCAACGGUGAAACUCAA
rnacentral:rRNA from 1 species